AGAGUCGUCUGUGGCAUGUUUGUUAGCAUGUGACAGCGGUGUUUAUUGCAGCGUGACAUCCGGUUUUUGUACCAAGUCGGUGCAGGUGUCUUAGGUCAGAAAGCAAAGCUGCGUGGAAGCUGUUGGUCCAGAGCUUAGACCACGGUCACUUGCGCUUCUGUGGAAGAUCCGUCCGAGGCCAGGCCUGGUCAUCAGGGCUCUGAACACAGCCUCCAGUGGAAGCUGAGGCACCGACGGGCGCAGCUGGUGGCCACGGGGCCAGGGCCGAGGUGAUCUAGGCUCUGGCCAGCCCAGCCAUUCACCUCGGAGCCCCCUGGAUGUGUGCCGUCUGGGGCCGAGGAACCGCGCAGUGCAGCCAGGGCCAGGCCUGGUCGGCAGGCUGUGCGGGGGCAGAGCGGGGGCUCUCUGUGAUCCUGGACCUGGGUCAGGACCGGGACCAGGGCAGCUCGUGGAGCGCAGGGCCCUGAGCCGAGAACGCAGGAGAGGCGGUUUCCUCCCGGCCUUGGGGCAGGGAUGGGGGUGCGGGGAGGGUGUGGAGGUCAGAGAGACUCCAGUCGGAAGGAAGCAGUAACCGCCCCAAGAGACACAAGGCUGUCGAAGUUUCAGAAAGUUGAGGUAGGUUUGGAGCAACGCUGCUGGGCGGUCCCUCAGCAGAGCGUGCCUCUGCCAGCUGCCUCUGUGUCCUCCGUUGGCUGGCGGAGGGGAGCGGGCGCGAGGUGGGCUCCCGGGUCGGUGAGGGGCUGGCGCCCAGUGGGGCAGCGCUGGCGAGGGAAGGGGCGCAUUUCAGAUCCCUGCUCUCAGAGCUGUGCUGCUCAGGGUCCUGAGACCCUCCAAACACGAUAGACGGACGCCGUCAGGUAACAUACACCUGGUUCCGUGCGAAGGAGUUUGUGUGUGUGCAUCUCAAAGCGUGGGCAAUAGAAGGGAUCUGCAGUGAAGACGCUGACUUACACCGAGAUGAUGCAAGUUACCGAGCUUUCAGAUGGUGGCGUUUAUUACCAAAAGGAGGGAAAGUUUUCUUUAAUCUCGACAGCGUCCCUCACUUGCAGGUAGUGAAGAACGUAGUAGCAGUACGAUUUAAACAGUUACAUUCGUUAAGGAAAGUUAUUUUCAUUUGGUAAGUAACUAAGCCAUUUUUCCAGCUAAAAGAAGAGAAGAAAGGCAAAGGGUAACGUUUUCACCGCUUCAUCAAUGAGAAAAAUCAACGCAGUCGACAUUGCCUUUUUGUCAAUGUGCAAAACGAUUGCCUGUAUUAACAGUUUACACGCACCAGGACAUAAGGAGGGAGAAAAGAAAGUGCAGGUUGAGACUGAUGUGUGAGAGAAUCCACAGGAGGGCAUCUGUGUCAGGUUAGUGGCUUCACCACUUGAGUGAGGGCUCACCCGCACGGAACGGACCGUGUGGGUUUACUUCAGUCAGGCUGCGUCGGGUGGCAUUUCUUUGGAGGUGGUGCGUGGUACCCAUAAGCAGGGUCCCGCUGGAGGACGUUGUCAGGGAAGCACCAGGUCAGCAUCAGGGGCUCAUCUGCCCACACGUGAGCCACAGCCCUGCAGCGCGGGGCGGACUGCCACGCGGCAGGCCCGGCGGUGAGCGCAGGCCACAUUGCUGUCACUGGAGCUGGGCUCCCCGAGAGGCCCAGUGGGAAGAGCUGGGGGUCCCAGGGGUGCAGGAGCAGCACGGGGGGAGGCUGUACCCUGCUCCCCUGCAUUCAUGCCCGUCUCCUCGCCGUACCAGCUCCCAGCGUUGGGAAGCCCUUGCUAGGGCGGUGGAGCGCGGCCCCUCCUGCCCCGUCUCUGCCCUCUGCGGGCUUGGUGUGGGGUGGGAGUCACCCACUGAGUGGCAGUUGGCUGCCUGAUGGUCCUGUUGAUGGCGCUCAGAGCGGGGCACCCUUGGGCCAGGCCCGUCUCUUGGUCACGGCUGAACACAAUACCUGCCGGAAAACCCUCGGUCUGUUCUGUGGUCCACACGCAGGAGGCCCUGGGAUACCAGUGUGCUCUGCUCUGAAGGGACCAGGAAUUCUCACGCCUGCCUUGGGUGUGUCAAGCGCUGCCCUCUCAGGAGGAGCCUGGUGCCUGUCUGAGCGUCCUGGCAGGCGUGGAGUGAGCUACUGAAAUGGGCUGAACGAGGAACCGCCAGGGGGUGGAGGGCAGGGUCCAGCCGAGGCCCAUCUCGGCCACUCCUUGGGGCCUCCAGGGCUAGGGUUGUGCUGUCACCGUGUUGCCAGGCAGCAGCUGCACAGCUGGAGACCUGCAUCCACCUGUGACAGGACGGGAAGGGUGUGCACAUGUGAUAGCCGUGUGAGCCCCAGCGUACUGUGAGAGGUGUGUGUUGGGGGCAGCGAGGUGGGCGCGAGAGGGGUGCUACCCCAGAUCCAGCCCGGGCCUGCUCACCCAGGCUCGCCCGGGGCUGGCCGCGUCCACACUGUGAUCCACCCCCGGGGGUGCCUGCUUCCCUGAGGUGGGGGGCGAUCUGGAACAAAAUGUGUUGCCCGUUUGCAUCCCAGGCUCUUCCACGUUGGGGUGGAAGCGGACUCCAGAAGCUCCGUCUGUGCUAACACACGCGCCGUGUCUGGGGAGCGUUAGGCAUUGCUUCCGUCGCCCUCGGGUGUCCGCCUGCUUUGGGCCCCCCCCUUGCGGCUGCCUCCUUCCUGCUGGUCCCCUGGGCGCCUGGCGGCCCCUGCUGGAGGACGGGCCCCGGCAUCUCGGUGCCUGGCGCCUCGUACCCACCCUGGAGGGUGGUCCACGUCCUUGAGGUCAUGUUGUCCGGGCUCGUGGGCGUGCUGUACAGGAGCGGCUUCGUUCUCUGGUCUUACACGAAGGCAGCUGCACUUUUUCUUCUUUUAAGGCUGCGUUAGUGACACUAGUCGGCACUUGGGGCCGGUGGUUUUUCACUGUUUGCUUCCUGCCCGUUUCCUGACACCUGGACAGCCCUGGGCAGGAGAGCGAGACUGACCAGGCCCUGAGCCCGGCCCCCCCUCACUCCUGCACCCUCAUCUGGACUCUCGAUCCUCCUCCUUCGCUGACCAGCAGCAAAUCCUCGUCCCUGGAAAGAUCAACAGUGACUCUGUCGUGGUGCUGACUCGAUGUCACGACGGGACAAGCUGGAUGCCGUCGGUGGGUGGGCGGCCCGCGUGGCAGUGAGGAGAGAGGUCGUGACGCCUGGGAGGCCCCUUCACGGUAAGUUUCUGAGACGAAAGGCAUGGAGCGUUGGAGACAAGACCUGUAAGGCUGAGCUGAGCUCGGUCCAGAGUGGGUGGGCCUCCACCCAGGACGCCUGGAGGACCCAGGGGGAUGGUACCCGAGCUCAGAAAAGGGUGAAAACCGGAAACAGUUCAUUUCAUUCACUUUCCCGAACGUUCGUCUGCUCCAGCGGUCCAGAGCGUCUUGGGCUUGUUGCCUGGGUCUCUCCCCUGGGCUCGGGAACGCCCUUCGGUUUUUAUGUGGGGCGGCUGUGUAACUUCCUGUCCAAAGUGGGGCUCUUGAGAUGAAAGGGAGCACUCUGAUGGCCAGGCUGGGCAUUGGAUGUUUGCCGGGCCCGGCGGGAGUCUGUGGGACCCGCACCGCGUUCUCCGUGCAGCCCGGGGGAGCCGUGGGCUUCGUGCGUGUAGGAGAGCGCCUGUCAUCCUCCCACGCCCCACCCAGAGGGCGUCUAACAGAGAAAUGGGCUUAUGGCUGUUAGACGGGGUGUGGGAAGUCCUUGUGUUUGGAGCCCUCUCCGCCCUCCCCUGGAGUGGCCUCAGCCGCGGGCGUUGUGUUCUCGUGGCCGUGCUGAGCUUUUCUGCAUGGGCACCGUCUUCCUCGUCAGUCGUUUGGGUGCAGGUGUCGCAUACCCUGUGCAGCGUCCUCUCCCGCUCUCGCAGGUGAGAUGCGGGUGCAGCUUCCCAGCCUGGGGGUGGGGGAUGGCUGGGCAGCAGGGGGUGGCCUGUGCCCCCGCUCCCCGGCUCAGCUCAGGUAACUCAGUUUCUCUGCCUCUGGUUUUCACAUCUCAAGCAUGGGAGCAGCUGUUAGGAGAGAAGAUGACUCUCACGAGGUUGCUCUGGGAUUAAUUAAAACCUGUCAGCGCUCCGCGCCACUAGGGCCUUGCGACAGCAUCUGUUCUUGCCCCGUCCCGCGUGUCCACCAGGAAGGCGCCCGGCAGAAGCGGGGUCAGCCAGCCUGGCCCAGAGGGGCUCACGGGCGCGCCUGCCGGUAACCCCGGCCUCCGGCAGGUAGGAAAGACUGGCCAGGCUGAGCGAAAGCGUUAGGCCUGUGUGCAGGGCAGCCUGCUCUGGAAACCAGGUAAAAACUAGCUUUCAGGGCCUCUCAGACCCAGUGCAUCGUGGUCUCGGUGGAAUCCACUCGGAAUUCACUGGGUGUAGGGAAGUGGCAGUAACGUGGGUGCUGCUCUGGGUUUCAGUUGUGUUACUGGCAGCCAGACAAGUGGUGGGACGCUGGCCAGCCCCCCCGUGAGCCCCCAGCCCCGAAACCACUGCUUGCCUCGCACGAUGGGCAUCUGUGCUGUUGCUUUUCUGCGUAGCUACGUUACGUCACGGUGUGCGCUCACAUGGGAGGAUGCAACCUGCCUGUGUAGGUACCAUUUUGUGUUGCAGUUACUGGCAUGCACAGAAGUCUUUCUAAUCUUCACAGCGCGUUGCAGACAGAAUCACAAGCCACACACCCAGCACGGACGACGCAGAGAGCUGCGAGGAGCAGGCAUGUUUAUUUGGUUCACUCCAGGGCUGCGGCAACCACGCAGUUGUAAAAAAGGAACGGGAAGUAAGAUGUACAAAAACGUGAAAUACCCCUUUAGAAAGUAUCAUGAUCAGAAACGGAUUUCCUGUGGAUCCUCCCUCCCUCUCCUGUGUCCCCACUCCCUGAAAGAAGACCCCCAAACGCAACCAAACUGUGAGAAGGGACGGGGGGUGAGUAUGUAACAGAAAAAAAACUGAAUUUAACGGGAACAUGCUCUAAUCUUUAGUUUAUUUCUGGUUAAAAAUAUAGCAAUCCAGUGCAGUGUAGUAAAGAAAUCUGCUCGAAAGGCAGCAGAGAAACAGCUGAACGUAAGCAAAGCAAGGCAGGGUCCACGGACGGCCGCGCCCGGGGCCUCCCCAGGCGUGGGCGCAGGGGCCCCACAGACACAGCCAUGCACGUGGCCGGGGCUGCUCCAUGGCUGGGACCACGGGGCAUCCAGACAGUCCGGGACCUUAUUCUGUUGUUUGGAUGGUGGGACAACGCUGGCAGGAAGGGCAGACACACCAGGAACCUGCUUUUGUUGGAUUGAAACAAGGUAUGUUGCAUAUUUUGGAGUUGGAUAUGCCAUGAUUUCUCAGGAAUUGUCAAGCCACCGGGUUUCAAACACAUUCCUGUCCUGGGACCCGACCAGCUCCCGAGUGUGGGCGAGGCAUCUGGAAGAAUAUGCAUAUCUGUGAGGGAAGUCGAGGCAGGCACAGGACAAGAAUGUGCAAACCCGUGGGCUCAGUGACACACUGAGAGGACGACAUCGUGUGAGGGCCGUCGGGGCCGCGGACAUCUGACAGCCUGGACGCACAGCCUGCAUCCUCAGUGCAGAAACGCCACGUGCUCUGAGCCCAGGCCCAACGGCAGGCUGUCCAAGUGAGGCCCUCCCCAUGCCCGCAGUGCUCCCUGGCCCUGGUGCCAGCCCCCUGGAUGCCCACAGCACAGCAGCCCUGGGGUCUGGGGUUGGGGUGGGGGAGACAGUGGGGAAAAGAAGGACUUUGCCUUAAGACUCAGUGUCGGGGCUGCAGGAGGGCCGGGUUGUGGUCGUUUCAUGGGCAGAAGAGAAAGCAGGUCUCUGCUUCCCUAAGUAAGUGUGCAGCACAGAUUUAAAACAGAAAAAGGCCCAGGCCACUACCAGCUGGAGCGGGCGCCCUCCCCCGUGCCUCACGCCAGGGCUUGCCACCCGCUAGCCGCCGGACGCUCCAGGGGCUCUGCCUCUGGUUGCCUCCUUUUCCACGUCCCAGACGGGGGUGUGAUGACGGUGGUGACUGUAUUUUUUUGCCAUUGAUUUGCCGGGAUCCCUUCUCUUUCCACGUCAAGCUGGAGGGUCGGCGUGCUGGCCUCCUUCUGCCAUGCCACACAGCAGAGUGUUAUACAAGCAAAGAAUUUUGGCUAAAAUCCAAAAAACAUGACCCAGAAAAAAAGGCAAACUGUGAGUAAUACCCAAUCACGUGGUUCUGUGAGAAGACCAGGAAGUUGUCGUUGGGUGUCCGAGCUACGAGCCUUCCCUUCUGUCGUUCUGCUUUUAACGUCCCCCGUGUGUACACCAGCUGCUUUUGCUAAUGCGACAGUCUCCUCAGAUGAAAAAGUUAAUAAACAAAAUGGCGACUCCGAUGUUCAGCAAGAUCACCAUGGCCACCAGGAUAGGCGCCGAGCCCUGGAACGGAAGCGGAAGAGGAGGUGAGCCCCAGGCCACACCCCCUCCUCCUGAGCGAAACUA